rnacentral:rRNA from 1 species
GGGGGGUAGAAUUCCAGGUGUAGCGGUGAAAUGCGUAGAGAUCUGGAGGAAUACCGGUGGCGAAGGCGGCCCCCUGGACGAAGACUGACGCUCAGGUGCGAAAGCGUGGGGAGCAAACAGGAUUAGAUACCCUGGUAGUCCACGCCGUAAACGAUGUCGACUUGGAGGUUGUGCCCUUGAGGCGUGGCUUCCGGAGCUAACGCGUUAAGUCGACCGCCUGGGGAGUACGGCCGCAAGGUUAAAACUCAAAUGAAUUGACGGGGGCCCGCACAAGCGGUGGAGCAUGUGGUUUAAUUCGAUGCAACGCGAAGAACCUUACCUGGUCUUGACAUCCACAGAACUUUCCAGAGAUGGAUUGGUGCCUUCGGGAACUGUGAGACAGGUGCUGCAUGGCUGUCGUCAGCUCGUGUUGUGAAAUGUUGGGUUAAGUCCCGCAACGAGCGCAACCCUUAUCCUUUGUUGCCAGCGGUCCGGCCGGGAACUCAAAGGAGACUGCCAGUGAUAAACUGGAGGAAGGUGGGGAUGACGUCAAGUCAUCAUGGCCCUUACGACCAGGGCUACACACGUGCUACAAUGGCGCAUACAAAGAGAAGCGACCUCGCGAGAGCAAGCGGACCUCAUAAAGUGCGUCGUAGUCCGGAUUGGAGUCUGCAACUCGACUCCAUGAAGUCGGAAUCGCUAGUAAUCGUGGAUCAGAAUGCCACGGUGAAUACGUUCCCGGGCCUUGUACACACCGCCCGUCACACCAUGGGAGUGAGUUGCAAAAGAGUAGGUAGCUUAACCUUCGGGAGGCGCUUACCACUUUGUGAUUCAUGACUGGGGUGAAGUCGUAACAAGGUAACCGUAGGGGAACCUGCGGUUGGAUCACC